UACGUAGGGGGCAAGCGUUGUCCGGAUUUAUUGGGCGUAAAGAGCGUGUAGGCGGCCACACAGGUCCGCUGUGAAACUCGAGGCUCAACCUCGAGCUGUCGGUGGAAACCGUGUGGCUAGAGUCCGGAAGAGGAGAGUGGAAUUCCCGGUGUAGCGGUGAAAUGCGCAGAUAUCGGGAAGAACACCCGCGGCGAAGGCGGCUCUCUGGGACGGUACUGACGCUGAGACGCGAAAGCGUGGGGAGCGAACAGG
rnacentral:rRNA from 1 species